UCAAUAAACCAUUCUAAUCUAUUUUUAACUAAGUGUUCUAAAAUUUUAAUUAAAACGGAAGAUAACGCAAUUGGACGGUAAGAAUUUGCAUCAUUACGGGGUUUAUUUGGUUUGAGGAAAGACAACACUAGCUGUAAUUUUCAACUUGGUGGAAUGUCACCUGUCAAAAAUAUGCAGUUGAUAAUAUUAAGAAAGUAACCUAGAAUAUUAUCACUAGAAUGUGUCAAAAAGGAAUAUGGAAUUCCAUCGCAUCCUGGUGCAGAAUCUAUGACAUACGAUAAUACAUUCUUUAGUUCCAAUAGUGAGAACGGACUGUUAAAACGCUGCAUGUUAUCAUUAUCAAUAUUAGACGGGGAAACCAGUUCAAGACACACAGGGAAUGGAACAAAUGGAGGAGCUAAUUUAACUAAAAACAUUUCGGCUACUGGAGGAUCAAGUUUGGUGGCGCUAUUUUCUACAAAAGCUCCUCUAAACAUUCUAACCUUUCUCCAAACUUCUGACGACUUCUGAACAUUCAGAAUCCCACCAUGGAGGACUGGGAAUAUUAAAUUUAGAGGACUUCUUAUGUGGAAAUACUUCAUCAGCUAUAUUAAUUAUAAACUUAGCAAAGGCAUCAGAAGUUUUAAACAAAUGUUCCAAGAUACAUCAGGCAAUUCUUCCAACCUCUCAUCCAUAUGUUUACGAAACUUAUCCCAAUGUGCAUUUUGAAGUUUAUAUGCUAACAGUGGAGAUCUUUUAAAAAAUGGUUUGUUUUUAGAAGGAAAAGAAAUGACAAUCGGAAAAUGAUCACUGCCAUAGGACAGAGGGAGUACCUCCCAGAGUAAGGAGUGUGCAAUGGAAGAGCUACAAAUUGAUAAGUCUAAUGCACUAGGAUUCUCAUUGGGAGCAGACCGACGCGUGGGAACACCUGAGUUCAAUAUAUAUAAAUCAUAAUACUC